CCUACGGGAGGCAGCAGUGGGGAAUAUUGGACAAUGGGCGGAAGCCUGAUCCAGCCAUGCCGCGUGUGUGAAGAAGGCCUUUUGGUUGUAAAGCACUUUAAGCGAGGAGGAGGCUACUAGUAUUAAUACUACUGGAUAGUGGACGUUACUCGCAGAAUAAGCACCGGCUAACUCUGUGCCAGCAGCCGCGGUAAUACAGAGGGUGCGAGCGUUAAUCGGAUUUACUGGGCGUAAAGCGUGCGUAGGCGGCUGAUUAAGUCGGAUGUGAAAUCCCUGAGCUUAACUUAGGAAUUGCAUUCGAUACUGGUCAGCUAGAGUAUGGGAGAGGAUGGUAGAAUUCCAGGUGUAGCGGUGAAAUGCGUAGAGAUCUGGAGGAAUACCGAUGGCGAAGGCAGCCAUCUGGCCUAAUACUGACGCUGAGGUACGAAAGCAUGGGGAGCAAACAGGAUUAGACUACCCUGGUAGUCCAUGCCGUAAACGAUGUCUACUAGCCGUUGGGGUCUUUGAGACUUUAGNGCGNNGCACGACGAGAAGUAGACCGCCGCGGGAGGUACGGUCGCGAGAACGUAAACGUAACGAAAGGAAGUUAGACGGCGNGGAGGACGAGCGACGACGACGACGAGGGAGGAGG
rnacentral:rRNA from 1 species